rnacentral:rRNA from 1 species
UACGUAGGGUGCAAGCGUUGUCCGGAAUUAUUGGGCGUAAAGAGCUCGUAGGCGGUCUGUUGCGUCGGCUGUGAAAACCCGGGGCUCAACUCCGGGCCUGCAGCCGAUACGGGCAGACUAGAGUUCGGCAGGGGAGACUGGAAUUCCUGGUGUAGCGGUGAAAUGCGCAGAUAUCAGGAGGAACACCGGUGGCGAAGGCGGGUCUCUGGGCCGAUACUGACGCUGAGGAGCGAAAGCGUGGGGAGC